rnacentral:rRNA from 2 species
UGCAAGUCUCAGUACGAGCUGUAUUAAAGUGAAACCGCAAAAGGCUCAGUAAACCGGUCAUAGUUUACCGGAUAUAUGCCACUUAGGUGGAUAACUGUGGUAAUUCUAGAGCUAAUACAUGCAACCAAGUCCCGACCAGCGAUGGAAAGGACGCUUUUAUUGGAUCAAAACCAUUCGCCCCGGUCCGCCGGGGCGUCUGCUUGAUGACUCUAGAUAACACCACAGAUCGCACGGUCACAGUACCGGCGACGUAUCCGUCAAAUGUCUGACUUAUCAGCUGUCGAUGGUAGACUCUGUGUCUACCAUGGCGCUCACGGGUAACGGGGAAUCAGGGUUCGAUUCCGGAGAGGGAGCCUGAGAAACGGCUACCACAUCCAAGGAAGGCAGCAGGCACGCAAAUUACCCACUCCCGGCACGGGGAGGUAGUGACAAAAAAUAACGAUACGGGACUCAUCCGAGGCCCCGUAAUCGGAAUGAGAACACCCUAAAUCCUUUAACGAGGAUCUAUUGGAGGGCAAGUCUGGUGCCAGCAGCCGCGGUAAUUCCAGCUCCAAUAGCGUAUAUUAAAGUUGUUGCGGUUAAAAAGCUCGUAGUUGGUUCUGCGUGCCACGCUGUCGGUUCACCGCCUGUCGGUGCAACUGGCAUGCCCGUGGCAUGUCCUGUCGGUGGCCGACAGGCUUCCCGGCGCGCCCUACUCGUUCACACGUGUAGGUCGUCGCGCCGAGUUGUCCUCGUAGGCCGGCUCAAUCCUACCGCGGUGCUCUUUACCGAGUGUCGAGGUAGGCCGACACUGUUUACUUUGAACAAAUUAGAGUGCUUAAAGCAGGCUCUGAAAGCAGCCUGAAUAGUGGUGCAUGGAAUAAUGGAACAGGACCUUGGUUCUAUUUUGUUGGUUUUCUGAAUCCAAGGUAAUGAUCAAUAAGGACAGGCGGGGGCAUUCGUAUUGCGACGUUAGAGGUGAAAUUCUUGGAUCGUCGCAAGACGCACUAGAGCGAAAGCAUUUGCCAAGUAUGUCUUAAUUGAUCAAGAACGAAAGUUAGAGGUUCGAAGGCGAUCAGAUACCGCCCUAGUUCUAACCAUAAACGAUGCCAGCCAGCGAUCCGCCGAUGUUCCUCCGAUGACUCGGCGGGGAGCUUUCCCCGGGAAACCAAAGCUUUUGGGUUCCGGGGGAAGUAUGGUUGCAAAGCUGAAACUUAAAGGAAUUGACGGAAGGGCACCACCAGGAGUGGAGCCUGCGGCUUAAUUUGACUCAACACGGGAAACCUCACCAGGCCCGGACAUUGGAAGGAUUGACAGAUCGAUAGCUCUUUCUCGAUUCAGUGGGUAGUGGUGCAUGGCCGUUCUUAGUUGGUGGACUGAUUUGUCUGGUUAAUUCCGAUAACGAACGAGACUCUGACCUAUUAACUAGGCGCUCCCGGUAUAAAUGCCUACCGGCGAGAUU